CCUGCACGAAGCGGUGGAGCAUGUGGUUAAUUCGAAGCAACGCGACAGAACCUUACCAGCGUUUGACAUGGUAGGACGACUGGCAGAGAUGCCUUUCUCCCUUCGGGGACCUACACACAGGUGCUGCAUGGCUGUCGUCAGCUCGUGUCGUGAGAUGUUGGGUUAAGUCCCGCAACGAGCGCAACCCUCGACUUUAGUUACCAUCAUUAAGUUGGGUACUUUAAAGUAACCGCCGGUGAUAAGCCGGAGGAAGGUGGGGAUGACGUCAAGUCCUCAUGGCCCUUACGCGCUGGGCUACACACGUGCUACAAUGGCAAGUACAGUGGGCAGCAAUCCCGCGAGGGUGAGCUAAUCUCCAAAACUUGUCUCAGUUCGGAUUGUUCUCUGCAACUCGAGAGCAUGAAGGCGGAAUCGCUAGUAAUCGCGGAUCAGCAUGCCGCGGUGAAUACGUUCCCAGGCCUU
rnacentral:rRNA from 1 species